rnacentral:tRNA from 1 species
GGAGGUGUAGCUCAGUGGCAGAGCACAUGCUUAGCAUGCACAAGGUCCUGGCUUCAAUCCCCAGUACCUCCA